AAUUAUUUCAAUGCUUUUCUAUGGGGAUUUUAGCGACACUGGAGGUCCUCACGUAGCGUGAGGACGUCCAGCAACGCUAUAGCACAGAAAAUCUGUAGCUUUCGGCCUUCAUUUUAGUAGUUUUUUCAGAUAGCGACCUUUUGCCUAUUUUCUCACAUGGCAGGUCCAGGCCUGGUCACUGUGGCAAACCUAGCCACUUCUAG